rnacentral:lncRNA from 1 species
AGACGUGGUAGAGUCAACCUAUUCCUCUUACUGCCUUCAAUGUGUCCAAUCACAAUAUUUGUGCCCCAUCAGUGUGCUGGAACUUCUCUGCUGGACUCCUGGAAUUCCACGAGAGCUUUCUCAUCCAUGGAGGUUGUCUGGAGGCCAAGAAGUUCUAACAUCUGCCAUUGGCAAGCUAAAGAGGCAGGAGAGCUGAUGUUCCAGCCCCAGGCCAAGUCUGAAGAAAUAGAAGACUUAUAUCUCACCUGGAGACAGCCAGGCAGAGAGAGAGUGAGUGCUCCCUGCCCCGCCUUUUUGUUCUAGUCAGGCCUUCGACAGAAUGGGUGAGGCCCACCCACAUUGCGGAAGGCAAUCUGCUUUACUCAGCCCAUGGAUUCGAAUGUCAAUGUCAUCAGGAAACACGGUCAUAGACACACCCAUAAGUAAUGCUUAACCACAUCUGGGUUAAGUCAUGGCCCAGUCAAGUUGACACGUAAAACUAGCCACCACAACUGCAGAAGUCCUCAAACACAGCUCCCCUGUUUCACCUUUAGUCAGUAUCUUCCAGAGAAUCUGUCUCCUCCACUCUGACCUCAGGACCAAUACUUACAAAGAUUUUCCCUACAUUUAGGGGCAUUGUAAUCACAGAAGGUGUGUACAUUAUCAGUCUACAAAAUAGGACACAGCCAGGGCCUGCCCACCUCAUGCCCUCAGCCAAGUGUCUGGUUUAUAAUAGCAGAAUAUUGGAAUCCAACCAUCAGACUUCCUCUCUCAGCACUCUUUUUACUCUCUAAAACUUGCAUUUUUGCAAUGUUUCCAAUUCUCACCAUAUUUUCCUUUAAUUUAUAAAUGUACUUAUAAUAAUUGCUUCAAAGUUCUUGUCUGCUAAUUGCAAUAUCUGGAUCAUGUAAUGGUUGCUAUCCAUUGGCUGCUUUUUUGUUUUGGAAGUCGAUCAACUUUACCCUUUUGCAUUCGAUCUGCAUUUCUUUGCAAAUGUUAUACUCUUUUAAUUGCAUAUUGGUAAUUAUGGAUGAAACAUUGUAGAGACUCCGGAUUUUGUUAUUUUCUGCUGAUGAGUGUCAUUUUUGUUCUUUCAUGCAGGUAGCUGGUUUUAAUCAAAUUUCCAACUCUGGCUCCUAGUGAUGGGCAGAAAUUGCUAGAAAGUGUUAUAUAUAGAUGCACCCUCAGUCUUUCUGAUGUCAUUUUUCA